rnacentral:rRNA from 1 species
UACGAAGGGGGCUAGCGUUGCUCGGAAUCACUGGGCGUAAAGGGCGCGUAGGCGGCCAUUCAAGUCAGGGGUGAAAGCCUGUGGCUCAACCACAGAAUUGCCUUUGAUACUGUUUGGCUAGAGACCGGAAGAGGUAAGUGGAACUGCGAGUGUAGAGGUGAAAUUCGUAGAUAUUCGCAAGAACACCAGUGGCGAAGGCGGCUUACUGGUCCGGUUCUGACGCUGAGGAGCGAAAGCCAGGGGAGCAAACGGG